UACAGGGGGUGCAAACGUUGCUCGGAAUCAUUGGGCGUAAAGCGCACGUAGGCGGUUCGUUAUGUCGGAUGUGAAAGCCCUUGGCUUAACCGAGGAAGUGCAUCCGAAACUGGCGAGCUAGAGUACUAAAGAGGAUCGCGGAAUUCCCGGUGUAGAGGUGAAAUUCGUAGAUAUCGGGAGGAACACCGGUGGUGUAGACGGCUUUCUGGACCGUAACUGACGCUGAGACACGAAAGCGUGGGUAGCAAACAGG
rnacentral:rRNA from 1 species